UCCGGUUUGUCACCGGCAGUCUCAUUAGAGUGCUCAACUGAAUGUAGCAACUAAUGAUAAGGGUUGCGCUCGUUGCGGGACUUAACCCAACACCUCACGGCACGAGCCGACGACAGCCAUGCAGCACCUGUGCACGAGUCCCGAAGGAAGAUUCCAUUUCUGGAACUGUCUCGUGCAUGUCAAGUCUGGGUAAGGUUCUUCGCGUUGCAUCGAAUUAAACCACAUGCUCCACUGCUUGUGCGGGUCCCCGUCAAUUCUUUUGAGUUUCACCCUUGCGAGUGUACUCCCCAGGCGGUAUACUUAACGCGUUAGCUCCGGCACAACCAGGGUUGAUUCCAGUUACACCAAGUAUACAUAGUUUACGGCAAGGACUAC
rnacentral:misc_RNA from 1 species